ACUCCCAAACCCCUGUGAACAUACCUUCUGUUGCCUCGGCAGGCCUCGCCCUACCCUGUAGCGCCCUACGUUGUAGGGCCUACCCGGGGGAGUGCGGGGGACCCUGCCGGCGGCCCGCCAAACUCUGUUUAGCCCUGGAUUCUGAACAUGUAACUAAAUAAGUUAAAACUUUCAACAACGGAUCUCUUGGUUCUGGCAUCGAUGAAGAACGCAGCGAAAUGCGAUAAGUAAUGUGAAUUGCAGAAUUCAGUGAAUCAUCGAAUCUUUGAACGCACAUUGCGCCCAUUAGUAUUCUAGUGGGCAUGCCUGUUCGAGCGUCAUUUCAACCCUUAAGCCCCUGUUGCUUAGCGUUGGGAGCCUACGGCAGCGUAGCUCCCCAAAGUUAGUGGCGUGGUCGGUUCACACUCCAGACGUAGUAGAUUUUCACCUCGCCUGUAGUCGGACCGGUCCCCUGCCGUAAAACACCUCAAUUUCUAAAAGGUUGACCUCGGAUCA
rnacentral:rRNA from 1 species